UGGGGAAUUUUGGACAAUGGGCGCAAGCCUGAUCCAGCCAUGCCGCGUGAGUGAAGAAGGCCUUCGGGUUGUAAAGCUCUUUCGGACGGGAAGAAAUGGCGGGCUCUAACAUAGCCUGUCGAUGACGGUACCGUAAGAAGAAGCACAGGCUAACUACGUGCCAGCAGCCGCGGUAAUACGUAGGGGGCAAGCGUUGUCCGGAUUUACUGGGUGUAAAGGGUGCUCAGGCGGAGUUGUAAGUCAGAGGUGAAAUCUUACAGCUUAACUGUGAAACUGCCUUUGAUACUGCAAGCCUAGAGUAUGGAAGAGAGUGAUGGAAUAUCUGGUGUAGCAGUGAAAUGCGUAGAUAUCAGAUGGAACACCAAUGGCGAAGGCAGUCACUUGGUCCAUUACUGACGCUAAAGCACGAAAGCGUGGGUAGCAAACA
rnacentral:rRNA from 1 species